ACAAGCGGUGGAUGAUGUGGUUAAUUCGAUGCAACGUCGAAAACCUUACCACCUUUGACAUGUACGGAAUCCUUUAGAGAUAGAGGAGUGCUCGAAAGAGAGCCGUAACACAGGUGCUGCAUGGCUGUCGUCAGCUCGUGUCGUGAGAUGUUGGGUUAAGUCCCGCAACGAGCGCAACCCUUGUCAUUAGUUGCUACAUUCAGUUGGGCACUCUAAUGAGACUGCCGGUGACAAACCGGAGGAAGGUGGGGAUGACGUCAAGUCCUCAUGGCCCUUAUAGGUGGGGCUACACACGUCAUACAAUGGAUGGUACAAAGGGUCGCCAACCCGCGAGGGGGAGCCAAUCCCAUAAAGCCAUUCGUAGUCCGGAUCGCAGUCUGCAACUCGACUGCGUGAAGUCGGAAUCGCUAGUAAUCGUGGAUCAGAAUGUCACGGUGAAUACGUUCCCGGGUCUUGU
rnacentral:rRNA from 1 species